rnacentral:misc_RNA from 1 species
GAUGAAGAACGUAGCGAAAUGCGAUAAGUAAUGUGAAUUGCAGAAUUCAGUGAAUCAUCGAAUCUUUGAACGCACAUUGCGCCCCCUGGUAUUCCGGGGGGCAUGCCUGUUCGAGCGUCAUUUCACCACUCAAGCCUCGCUUGGUAUUGGGCAACGGGGUCCGCCGCGUGCCUCAAAUCGACCGGCUGGGUCUUCUGUCCCCUAAGCGUUGUGGAAACUAUUCGCUAAAGGGUGUUCGGGAGGCUACGCCGUAAAACAACCCCAUUUCUAAGGUUGACCUCGGAUCAGGUAGGGAUACCCGCUGAACUUAAGCAUAUCAAUAAGCGGAGGA